CCUACGGGAGGCAGCAGUGAGGAAUAUUGGUCAAUGGGCGCAAGCCUGAACCAGCCAUGUCGCGUGCAGGAAGACGGCCCUAUGAGUUGUAAACUGCUUUUGUACAAGGGUAAAGUUGAAUACGUGUCUUUAGUUGUAAGUACUUUACGAAUAAGGAUCGGCUAACUCCGUGCCAGCAGCCGCGGUAAUACGGAGGAUCCGAGCGUUAUCCGGAUUUGUUGGGUUUACAGGGUGCGUAGAUGGAUUGGUAAGUUAGUGGUGAAAUGUGCGGGCUUAACCCGAAAACUGCAUUUGAUACUGUCGAUCUAGAGAAUAGGUGCGGUAGGCGGAAUGUGUGGUGUAGCGGUGAAAUGCGUAGAGAUCAUGCAGAACACCGAUUGCGAAGGCAGCUUACCAAACUGCAUCGGACAUUGAGGCGCGAAAGCGUGGGGAGCAAACAGGAGUAGAUACCCUAGUAGUC
rnacentral:rRNA from 1 species